rnacentral:rRNA from 1 species
UACGUAGGGUGCGAGCGUUAAUCGGAAUUACUGGGCGUAAAGCGUGCGCAGGCGGUUUUGUAAGCCGGAUGUGAAAUCCCCGGGCUUAACCUGGGAACUGCAUUGGUGACUGGCAGGCUUUGAGUGUGGCAGAGGGAGGUAGAAUUCCACGUGUAGCAGUGAAAUGCGUAGAGAUGUGGAGGAAUACCGAUGGCGAAGGCAGCCUCCUGGGCCAACACUGACGCUCAUGCACGAAAGCGUGGGGAGCAAACAGG